rnacentral:lncRNA from 1 species
ACUCCAUAGAAAAAGGUAGCGUCUCCAUCCAAAGAAUGAGGCCAAACUUGUUAGGCAGGCCAGCAACACAUACAUGAGUAUCUUCCAUAUAUCGUGGCUGCCAAUGUCAGACCACACUCUGAUCAAAUGAUGGGGGCAAAGUUGAUUAUCUGACUGCUGUUGUUCUCCAUGGCCACAGUAUUCUCAUAGACUUUUCCCAUCUAUCACAGAUAGCUGGGUAAUAAUUUGAAUGAGUAGGGGAAUAAUCAAAAUGAACAAAAAAUUGCCUAAUUUCACUGAAUCAAGGGUUCAAAAGGGUUUGUAAGUGCAUGUCCUUAUUGCAUGACAUUUUCAACUCAUACAGCAUGCCUGUUGUUCUUACAAAACAUUGUAUCAAGCACACAUAUUGUGCCUGCAGUGUAGCUAGUAACCGGAGAAAAAGGUUGGAGAGAACUAGUGAAGUAAAUCUUAUUUGUUCAAGUUAAUAUUAAAAUCAUGUUGGAUAAUAGUGGCAUCAAAUUUAGUUAGAUUUCAGUAAAAAUUCAGUCAACACAAGCAAGCAGUGGACAUGAACUUUAUGACAAUCAAUAAUUAUUAAACUUAAUACGGGUCGUCUUUUUUUUUUGGUACAUAAUACCAGGUCUUCUUAAGAACCAUGAAGUUAUUAACUUUCAUGACUCUUCCUUAUAUCUUACAAGAACUUCUUUUUAAGGUUGUGCUAUCAUUAGACUUAGCAACUAGAUAUGCCCAUAGGGUCCAAAGCAUGCAUUGGAAGCAUAAUUGAUAGAACUACUCCAGACAAUGACAUCAAGGAUAGGUUUAAAAGGAUCAGUGAUGAAAGAUCAUCGAUCAAUAAUGCAAUCACUAUUAAGGAGGCUUAAAUCCUCAUUUUUACUGACUUUGGUGUAUUUUGGGGGAUAACAAUGGCUUUCAAAAUUCAUAAGCCGGUGCAACGAAUGCAAGAUUGAAUUUGGUCAACAACCUCUUGCUCCAAACCCCAACCAUUAAUCUUAAAUACUUUGUAGUUGUUGGUGUUGAGCAAUGUACAACAAUUUUCUUGAUCGCCAAUCGAAAGAGAGAUAAAUAAGGUCAGCACAACACAGUAUUUCGCUGAUGUGUGUGGUCUAUUGAUUAGUGUUGGAUGAAAAGUGAUACUAAAUUGUUUUCUGUUGCUUUACAAGUCAAAUAUAAUCCUACAUUAUAACUGAAAUUAGAGCACUUUUAGGAAUUUACUCAUUUCAAGGUAGCAGCAUGGCAGGUUUUUACAAAUUUUAUUAUUCACUUAAGUUAUAUUUAAUAAUAGUCAAAAUUAAGAGAAUGUAUUGUAUAAAUCAUGUGCAAUUUUUGGGUCUAGUCAAAUAUGAUUUUGGUAAGCAUGCCCGAACCCAGGGACGUCAAUAGAGCUCGGGCAAGCCAAUCCAUGCUCAACCUUGGCUUGUAAAAUGGUUUAAGAAAUUUAUGAGAGCCUAAAAUCCCCUAGGGCUUUCUGGACUAAUCUCUCUUCUUAGAUUUCAAUUUAACAGUAUGAACUUUUCCUAGUAAGUAUUCAUUAAAAUGGAUAUUUUUCAAGCCAAAUCAAGCUGGAUGCCAAUAAGGUAGGCAAGAACCUCAACUUAUUUAUUAAUUUAAUCCUUGUUGGGCCAAACUUCACACCAAACACCAACUCAAACACAAAUAGUUUGCUUGUUUGACCAUCUUAUAUGCUUAUGUAUGGCACGCUUAGAUAAAUAAAAUGACAGAUGAAUCAUGGAAUCCAAAAAGUGGAAAAUUACGUAUUUGCACACCACCCUCUCUUAAAAUAUGUCAAUCCAAUGAACAAAAUUUUAUAUCCACAAUAAAGAUCAAGUUCCGAUACCUCAGCACAGUUCUUAUAUUUCUAAUAUCGAACUGACAGCAACAAUACUACCGAUAACUAUCAGUAACAGCACAACUGCAAAGUUCUAAUGAGGCAUGCGAAACCGAUGAAGGACUCCGGUUAAUAUUUCUAUCAACCAUCAGCAAUCAUGUCGAACCACAAACUUCGUCAAUGUGAUGUAGAUAUAGACGAAUAAAACUCAUUUAAAAACAGCAGUCCCUGGAUGUAGACAGCUUAACCAAAACCAAAUUUUUAUAAUCAGAGAUCAGAAAAAUGGAAAGUCAGAAAAGUUCUAAAACAAAAAAAAGUAAAAAGAUGCUGUGCGAAUCCAAAAAAAAUGGAGAAAAAAAUUCGAUUUCCGAAAAAACACCAAAUAAUGAAAAACUCGGAAAAACAGAGGAAGCCAAGACUACCAAUUGCCAAUUGCAACAAAUCUUUAGCACGCAACGCGAAAGAAAAAGGUAGCGUGAAAGUUAAACGAAUAAGGGAAAAUAACAGACAGGGACAUAGAGAGAGAAGCGUGCACGAAGUCAAUGAUGAAACGAAUAAUCAAAUAGAAAAUUAUCCCGUCCAGAGUCCGUCUUCUGAACGAUUUAAAAGAAAAAACUUGGAACACUGCAAAAAUCGGAUUUUUCUCGACUUUGGCACUGCAAAAUCCCACCUUUUCGAUCCCUACCGCUUCCUUGGCGAUCUUAUCCUCUACGCACAAGACUAGAAAUUAAAAGCAAGUCACGAGAGCCUGCU